rnacentral:rRNA from 1 species
AUUGAACGCUGGCGGCAUGCCUUACACAUGCAAGUCGAACGGCAGCACGGGAGCAAUCCUGGUGGCGAGUGGCGAACGGGUGAGUAAUAUAUCGGAACGUGCCCAGUCGUGGGGAUAACGUAGAGAAAUUUACGCUAAUACCGCAUACGAUCUAAGGAUGAAAGCGGGGGACCGUAAGGCCUCGCGCGAUUGGAGCGGCUGAUAUCAGAUUAGGUUGUUGGUGAGGUAAAAGCUCACCAAGCCGACGAUCUGUAGCUGGUUUGAGAGAACGACCAGCCACACUGGGACUGAGACACGGCCCAGACUCCUACGGGAGGCAGCAGUGGGGGAAUUUUGGACAAUGGGCGAAAGCCUGAUCCAGCAAUGCCGCGUGCAGGAAGAAGGCCUCGG